CGCAGCAGGAUUAGAACCUGCAAUCUUCUGAUCCAAAGUCAGAUGUUUUAUCCAUUAGUUUUAACUAAACUC